AGUAGCAUCGUUUCACAAUGUUUCCAUCACCAUCAUCAGUGGAUGCCUUUGCCGUCUGUAGCCUGAGAUUUCAGAUUUGCAGCAAAAAAAAUUGAUUUUCUCAUUUAUUGGAAUGCUGUGCAGGUAUUUGUACCUUGCAGCCAUCCAUUACAAUGUCACCAAGCCGUAACAAAAGCAGGAGAGGGAAAGUACAAGGCUAUGUUCCCAAAACACACAAGUGACAUACCUUAUGUGGAUGAUGUGAUCAGGCUUGUGUUUGAUGAGGUAUUUGAAGAUAAGCUGAAGGAAGCCCCGAUUCCAAUGGACCUGGCAUCACAGUUUGAGAGACCUUCAAAGGAGGACGUGAUUGCAUGCCAUCUUCAGUGCAG